AGCCAGUUGCAGCAGGAGUAGGAGACUCCCUGUCUGAUCUUUGUCUCUUGCCCUCCCCCCGCUCUCCAGUCUCCACUUCUGCCUCUGAUUCUAGACUGCUCUCUGCCACAGACUCUCCCUGCUCACUAAACCCUGUUACCGCUUCAGCUUUUGAUACCUACUCCUCCCAGUUCUCGCUCUGACCACCCAUUAUUGUCUCACCACAACUCCCUGGCCUCUGAGCCUUCUUUCCUUGGGGCUUUAAAUGAUGAGAGGAAAAGAACCCCUAUACACCACCACCUUGAGCAACCUGGAGAAAAAGGCAGGGGAGGAAUUUUGGCAUCACACAGGGUAUCACUAAAAUAUGAGACCCCAAGACUGCCACUCCACCUCGGGUGGCCAGUGAUGCGUUGUGGAAAAGAGGAAAUGCACCAUCGCCAUCAAAAAAGAGGGAAGAAAAUAAACAGAAAACUACGUAUGUUCAUCUCAAUUUACAGAUCAGCUUUUUGAAAGAGCAGCUAUGAAAUAUAAUCCAUCUCACCAUAGUGAGGAAGGUG